GGCUCAGGACGAACGCUGGCGGCGUGCCUAAUACAUGCAAGUCGAGCGGACAGAUGGGAGCUUGCUCCCUGAUGUUAGCGGCGGACGGGUGAGUAACACGUGGGUAACCUGCCUGUAAGACUGGGAUAACUCCGGGAAACCGGGGCUAAUACCGGAUGGUUGUUUGAACCGCAUGGUUCAGACAUAAAAGGUGGCUUCGGCUACCACUUACAGAUGGACCCGCGGCGCAUUAGCUAGUUGGUGAGGUAACGGCUCACCAAGGCGACGAUGCGUAGCCGACCUGAGAGGGUGAUCGGCCACACUGGGACUGAGACACGGCCCAGACUCCUACGGGAGGCAGCAGUAGGGAAUCUUCCGCAAUGGACGAAAGUCUGACGGAGCAACGCCGCGUGAGUGAUGAAGGUUUUCGGAUCGUAAAGCUCUGUUGUUAGGGAAGAACAAGUGCCGUUCAAAUAGGGCGGCACCUUGACGGUACCUAACCAGAAAGCCACGGCUAACUACGUGCCAGCAGCCGCGGUAAUACGUAGGUGGCAAGCGUUGUCCGGAAUUAUUGGGCGUAAAGGGCUCGCAGGCGGUUUCUUAAGUCUGAUGUGAAAGCCCCCGGCUCAACCGGGGAGGGUCAUUGGAAACUGGGGAACUUGAGUGCAGAAGAGGAGAGUGGAAUUCCACGUGUAGCGGUGAAAUGCGUAGAGAUGUGGAGGAACACCAGUGGCGAAGGCGACUCUCUGGUCUGUAACUGACGCUAGAG
rnacentral:rRNA from 1 species